GACGUAGGGCGCAAGCGUUGUCCGGAUUUAUUGGGCGUAAAGAGCUCGUAGGCGGCCUGUCGCGUCGACCGUGAAAACCCGCAGCUCAACUGCGGGCUUGCGGUCGAUACGGGCAGGCUGGAGUUCGGUAGGGGAGACUGGAAUUCCUGGUGUAGCGGUGAAAUGUGCAGAUAUCAGGAGGAACACCGGUGGCGAAGGCGGGUCUCUGGGCCGAUACUGACGCUGAGGAGCGAAAGCGUGGGGAGCGAACAGG
rnacentral:rRNA from 1 species